GUGGCUGGUACAGGAGCAGAGUAUCGAGAGCCUCUGGUUUUGUGCCCCAAAAGGUCGGGCGGCCACUCUAGAUGCAAGAGGAUCUGUAAUGCGGAAGGUUUAAGGGAAGGACCCCAUCCGGCUUGCGUGGUGCCAGGAUUGUACACGGUCCCUCGGUGCAACUGACUGGGGAUGGAUCGGGCCCCCAGAUCAGAGAGAAUGAAGACUUCAUUCGAUCCAGUAUCCACUUCAUGCGUUCUCCAAUACACUGAAUACCUGCAGCCUUAGAGAACUGUCUGCUGGUUGAACUAGAACACUGGGAUGAGACAGGAUGAUGACUCCAAUCUAGGAGAGAUGUCUCCCAAGUACACCUGCUGGAGGAGAAUCUGAUCUUCUAAGGAUGAUCUCCCAAAACCCCAAAGCCAAGCAACCAGUAGGAGUUCAAUAACCCAUUGGGAGAAGAGCCAGCCUAUCUGAUCUUAGGCAACC